CCUACGGGAGGCAGCAGUGGGGAAUCUUGCGCAAUGGGCGAAAGCCUGACGCAGCAACGCCGCGUGCGGGAAGAAGGCUUUCGGGCUGUAAACCGCUUUCAGCAGGAACGAAAAUGACGGUACCUGCAGAAGAAGGAGCGGUCAACUAUGUGCCAGCAGCCGCGGUGAUACAUAGGCUUCAAGCGUUGUCCGGAUUUAUUGGGCGUAAAGAGUUCGUAGGCGGUCGAGUAAGUCGGGUGUGAAAAUUCUGGGCUCAACCCAGAGACGCCACCCGAUACUGCUUGACUUGAGUUCGAUAGGGGAGUGGGGAAUUCCUAGUGUAGCGGUGAAAUGCGCAGAUAUUAGGAGGAACACCGGUGGCGAAGGCGCCACUCUGGAUCGAUACUGACGCUGAGGAACGAAAGCAUGGGUAGCAAACAGGAUUAGAUACCCUGGUAGUCCAUGCCGUAAACGGUGGGCACUAGGUGUGGGUUUCUAUUAACGAAAUCCGCGCCGUCGCUAACGCAUUAAGUGCCCCGCCUGGGGAGUACGGUCGCAAGCUAAAACUCAAAGGAAUUGACGG
rnacentral:rRNA from 1 species